UGUGACAGUGUGGGGUCCCACUGGGGUAUCCGUGACGGCAUCCACUGAGCACUUGUGUUUUGUCCAUGCGUAUGAAAUUUUCGGUGCCCUGGGCAAGCCAGCCCCAGUGACAUGGCCCAGCCUGCCAAACACAGCACGGCCUGGUCCCCUCUGCUGACCUCUUUGCUCUGCAGCACCAGGAGUGUCCGAGCUGAGUGCCAGCCCGUGAAACAGCCCCUUGGUGCCCAAAUGCCAAGCAACCCCCAACCCAGCUGGAGAUACGUGAACCACAAUACAGUACAGGAACAACCCCUGCCUGUGAGCGCAGUGUCUCUGCCCUCCUCACCCUGGAGGGCAGUGCCCCUGAAGGA